rnacentral:lncRNA from 1 species
GCCGAGCUAAUUAACGCAAGCUUAUAACCCAAGUGGGGGCAUCAAAGUGUUGGAACGCUGGUCUGGUCUCAGCUGGUCGGGUCUGUCGUGGCUCUAUUCUGGCCCGCCCGCUCCAAGCCGGGAGUUGAGCCGUGUGGAUUGGGCGAAGGCUCAGGCUUCACGGUUCCUAGAGCGGAGGGCACCGCGUAAGGCUGGCUUCACAGAGCAACGAUCACCUCCCGCCCUUGGCAGUGGAAGGAUAACGGGUCGGUGCCACCCGGAUCCAUCAUGCCCCGCUGGACCGUUCCAAUUGAACCAACGCUUUUUGUAUUUUUUUGCUUUCUUUACCGUAAAUCUCUGUUUUAAUUCGAAUGCUUUUGUGGCGUAUACCAAAAUCCCAAAUCAUCUGACUCAUUUAAACAUCUGUGGUGCUGAUUUUGGUGGUGCCGGCGACGCAUUGCCGGAGCAGUGGUGGUGCAACAAAACUCGGAAAAAAUGUUGACUUCGCUGAAAACAUAGUUGGCGCAAAUGCAAUCGUCUUCCUUUUCGACAAUGGCAUUACAGCAAUCUUGUUGAAUGGCCGGUUAUCGAGUCCGAUAAGAUACACAAAUCUCAUCGUAACAAGUAGCAGAAGCAGUGUGGUAAGCUCCAAGGAACUUUUCAAGCUUAGGAUGGGGGGAGAGAGCCGGUGUUUUGGGUGGAGCAGGAGAGCUGGAAUCGGAAGCAGCCAAGCGUUGUGUCAGUGCUUAAACAAAAGAGAAGGAAAAACACAGCAAGCACUCCUCCUUUCAUCAUCUUUGCUAAAUUUGAUGAAUCACAAGUGAAAUAUAAGUGAGUUGAGUUGCAUGGUGAAUGUCAAAACUUAAAUUGAUAAUUAUCAACAUUUAAAUGAGAUUGAUUUGAUUGUAUCGAUCCAAUUAGUUGAUCGGCGUUAGUCUCAUCUCCUCCAGAAGCAAAAUCCAAGUGUUUUAGUGUCCUUACCCAACCUACAGCCGCAUCACCCCACUCGCUCCCACACCAGGUAGUUCUAAUGGUGCUUCCUUUUCUCAACACUGAGUAAUCUUAUUAUUUUUAAUUUCUUGCAGGAACUUUAAUCCAUAUACAUGAUCACUUGAAAUUUUACCCUUAAAUAAAAAGAAAUGGGAAGAUAAUUGUGUGAGAGUAUGCAGAAUCUAAACUUUAGGAACACCACUUGUCGUUUUGAGUUUUUUUCUUUUGGGAGUUUUAAUUGUCGAUUCAUCCCUUUUUUAAUGUUUGUCCACAACAACGUAAAUCUCAAACUCCCGAAGUUGCGAUUGAGAAAUACAAUUUGAUUAAAUGUGGCCAAAAUUUUGAGUUGCCAAAGUACAAGUUAAGAGAGAACCACAACAACUACAACUUGUCUCACAUCGACAAUCAGCAGCUAUAAACAACGCUUUAUAUGUUGUGCACAAGCCGCACAUCCCGUCGAGCUUAGCAACGCAAGCUUGUAACCCGAGUGGGGACAUUAAGGUGUUGGGACGCUGGUUCUGUCUUAAGCCGGCCGGGUCCGAUGUGGCUCUUUUCUGGCCCGCCCAUUCCAAGCUGGGAGUUGGGCCGUGGAGCUUGGGCGAAGGCCUGGGCUCCCUGGUUCCUAGAGUGGAGAGCACCGCGUAAGGCUGGCUUCACAGAGCAACGAUCAUUUCCCGCUCUCGGCGGUGGAAGGAUAACAGGUCGGUGCCACUUGGAUCCAUCAUGGCCCGCUAGGCAGUCCCGAUUGAACCAACACGUUUUUUUUAUGCUAUUUCAACUUUUCGUUAUUUUUAAUUAAGGGCCUCCGGGUGCCAUGGCCAAUAUCUUAUAAUGGGUUUUUCUUCUUUUUAUUUUUUUUAUAACAAAUGAUAUUAUCUACACUAAAGAGGUUGUGUUAAGCCUCACAAUGAUCUUGCAAUAACUUGGUUAAAAUUCGUCUAUGAUGAUAAUCGAAUAUAAGAGAUCUCACUUACAAGUGAAGACAUAUCAUUAGAUUGUAGUACUAAGUGACAAUGUUUUUUUUUUUCUUUCCCAAAUGAAUGAUUUCAAACUUUGAGUGCAUAGUGGUAUACAUAUGUGGUUAAAAAUAAGAAAAUUUAAUUUUAAACUUUGUAACUUACACGCAAAAAAGGGAUUAAGAAUAUCCUUAGAGACUUUGUUCCGGCUUAAGUGGCUUGGCACAAUUUCAACUUCGUCCAAUGGUGGCGCGGAAUUUGUAUCAAAGAUUACCAUUUAUCUUAUUUUUGUUUGACGGAAAAACUUAAAACAUAUUGUCUUGUGUUGGCUUGCGGACUCGAAUUCAAUCUUUCGUGCAUCAACUAUUUGACGAAAAUGUAGAUGAAUACGAAUUUAUAGAGUACAUUCUAUAUUUUGACAAAACGGUAAUUUAAACUACUCUAAUCUAUGGAGGAAUUAGGUCAGUGUACUGGGUCAUAUAUGAUAAUGUCUAUCCCAAGUUGUUCCAAACUUUGGACAUUGAAAUCCCUUGCUUUUGUGUGCACAAUGAGGAAGGGAGGCCUGGAGAAAACAGUAGGAUUGGAAACGCAAACUUGAUCUGGAAACCAAAAGAGAUUGCUGCAAUCUUUCAUAUGAGGAUGAGGAUCUCCAAAGCAUAAUUGUAUCGGUAGCUCCGGAAAUCACUAAAGGAUAGAUUUUAAUCAAAUGGUCAAAAGUUGUAUAACUACUACUUUUAAAUUUGUUGAAUUCCAACCUAUCUAAGCUGUCAUCAAUUGUCGAGACUAGAUGACAGAUGUUGGUUAGAUCAGUUAGUUAAGCCAGUGGCACUCAAGUUCGAAUUAGAUCGGUUAGUUAAGCCAGUGUGCUCACUGCACUCAAGUUCGAUUUCUUUUUCUCAUAAAUUAGAGUUGUUUAAAAUAUCAUUAUGUUAAUUAAAAAAGAAAGUUUGACAGUAUGCUGUAAUUAGCGGGUUUGGUCACUUCUAUCAUGUUCAUACACAGUGCCUAGUUUGGCUUGGAUUUUCUCUUCUAUAUACAUGAAGUAAAAAAAAUCAACUAGUUCUUAGCCUAAGGUACAUUGAUCCCUUCUAAACGUUGAAGUCUCAGGUUCAAAUUUUCCAUGCUUCCAUUGAUGAAAAAAGGGUACCAAAAAUAGUUCACAAUUAAAUGAUUUAUAAAAAAAUUUGCGUUCACAAGACUGAUUGUUGGUACAUUUCAGAGUCACUAUCACCUUCUAACGUCGGCAUUUGCAAAAGCAAAUUUAAAUUAGUAAAGUGCUUCUGACAUGUUUUUUUUCUUUCUUUUAAAAAGCAGGAAUUAACUUGGCUGCUAAAUUGUUAACUUGGCUGCUGAACAAUUCAACAGCCAGCUUAUACUCAAUUUCAUGUAAACACGUAUUUAAGUUUUGAUUUUUUUAAUUAAAAUUUGAACACGUGUUCACAUAAAAUUAGGUAUAAGCAAGAAUAGCUGCUAAUUGUUGAGCAGCCAAGUCUUGUUCUAAAAAGCAGCAUUCACAUUACUUUCGUGUUUCGUCCAAAAAAAACUUUACUUUCAUGUGAUGUUUUUUACUUUAUGUCAUGAGACUUCGUAAUUAGCUCAUAUUUUCCGAGGUAGUUAAUACCCUUUUCUGAAAGAACCCCAUGACAGCUUUAAAAGGCUGAGAGGAAUAAGGACUCAUAUGCAACCCCUGGGCAUGCCAAUGACACUUUUGACAUCCUGAGAGAUGCAUGCAAGUAUCCUUACUCUAGAAGAUGUUGAACUGUUUGACUUGAUUUUUCAACCUGCGAAUGAUUCUUACUCCAUCGCAGAACAGUUUUUUAGCAGUUGAACAUUUUUAAAUCUAGAGAGAGAGAGAGAGAGAGAGAGAGAGAGAGAGAGAGAGCGAGGAGCUCCAAUGCCUUUAUAUAUAGCCAUGCCCAAAACGAAUGUAUAUGUUUUCUAACUUAGUUGUGAACAUGAGGCUCUUAGUCAUGUCAAUAGUGUUAAGCUUAUUCUGCAGAGACGUAAGGCUAGUCUCUGGUGAUAUCGGCACUGCAACUUCCUACGGUCCUCCUUACAUACGUGAGCAAACAACAUAUUAAUUCAACGCAAUGAAGAUAAAGAUAUCCAAUAUGUUAUGUCAUCAAAGAUUGUGAAUUAGAACUACAUACACAUUUAUUUAUGAUUUUGAUUAACAAUUUGACAACGUAACAUGUCUGAUACUUUGCUAAAAACAUAUAGUUUAGGUUAUAUAUGCUCUAUUUCUUAACUGGUCUAUUAUGAAUGACAAUUCAUUUUUCUUAAUGCCAUUGUAAUUGUUGUGCAGCUACAAAGUGCUUUGGGAGUAGGCAAGACCAAUUCCCUCCGGGGAACCUGUUUGUGGCGGUGAGUGAAGGAUUGUGGGACAAUGGUGCUGCGUGUGGAAGGCGAUAUAGACUGAGGUGCCUGAGUGGACGUAAUAAACCCUGCAAGGGUGGUGCUACGGUGGACGUGAAGGUGGUUGAUCUUUGCAAAAAAUCACCUUGCCCUUCUACAGUAGCAAUGUCAACUGAUGCUUUUGCAGCGAUCUCACACUCUCCUUCUACACGAAUCAACGUCGAAUAUGUCCAGUAAAUAUCUCUACAAACUUUACACUCUCUUAUAGUUCUACUAUUCAUUUUCCUUAUAUAUACAUACAUAUAUAUACACACACACAUACACUAAUAUUUAUGUCGAUGGUUUGAUCUUCAGGAUAUGAAAUCACCUGAACCAGAUAUAUGAUGACCACGUACAGCUGAGGAUAUUAUCAAUUAUACUGGCUUUGUAGUUCAUCUUGAACUCAAGUUUAUAAUGAUAAGAGAAACAUUGUAAUAUUAAUUUGAUACUACCUUUUCUUAGUUUGUCCAUUAGUCUUCAAUAAAAUGAUAUGCAGAGUUAUUAUUAUUAUUUUUAUUAUUAUUUUUUAUCAUACAUCCACAUCCCAAUUAAAACAAAAAUAACAUUACUUAUGUCACGUUUACUAAUCAUAAUGGAAACCACGCUCCCGAUUAGUUUUUGUACUAUGCUUAUAAAUAGGAAAAUGAUAACAACACUUUUCGUACAUAUCCUUUUUUUUUCUUGGGGAUGAGACUAGACUAUACUUGAAGAUGCAAAAUCUAAUACACGACAUAGCCACGGAUACUAGUAAUACACCACAUAAUUAAUGGAGAUUGCUCUCUAGAUCAUCCAAUUAAUUUUGAAUUGGAUGAUCUAGUUCUGUUCUACUCAAUUAUUUUGUAGCCCUUAAACGUGUUUCAUUUAGCACCUAAUCAACCGUACUUAUCCAUCUUGCCCAUGACAGUCACUAUGCAGUAUUGACUUCCUUUCUUACAUACAAGGUAGAUGUCACGGUAAUAAUAUUUCAAGUCAAUUAUGCAUUAUUAUGUGUUAUAACUUUUUUAUAUAAACAGUGUAUGAUUACUUAAGAUACAUCCAAAGUAACAUCCAUUGGAAGAAAGAAGGAAAAGGUUUGGCUAGUAGCUAAAGGCUUUACUUGGAAAGGGGCAACCCGGUCCUCUAUUGCAUCCCCUGUCGUAUCUGUGUAAACAGUUCGUUGUUUCUGGAUUGAUUUGUUUUCUCCACUUUGAGCCAUGAGCGGAAUGUAUCUAUUUUAGCCACGAGUGGAAUGUAUCUAUUUUAGCCACAUGCACCUUAUCGAAAUGGAACCUCCACUGAGUCAAAAGACAAAACAGUGGUCCUAAACAAAACGGAAUGUGCAUGGUUUUGUAGGCUUGUAGCCCUUUUUCAACAAGCUAGGCGUCUUAUUAGGAAUUUAGGACUCAAACAACUGUAUCAUAAUUGAUGAGUGGGAUGAUGUGUGGUGUAUUAUCAUGUCCACUACUGCAACUAAGAACUAUCUGAUCAAUUUUACACAUAGUUUUUUACAUCUCUGCUUCUGGUAUAUGGCCACUAAUUAAUCAACUUUUGGAUGCAUGCUACAUUUUCACGAAUGCUUGAAUUAAUUAUGUAAUUUCACAAGACUCGGUCCUCUUACUAAAUGUAUUCGAUAAUACACAAAAUUUUCUCACACGAUCCCAACUUCCAAAUAUCCUCAUCAUGCUUGUGUUGAGUCGGGCCAGCUCAAAUGGUUGUACUUAAGAUAGAAAGUAGUAAACUUUGUUUCCAAUAUCAUCCAAGGAAAGAACCCCUAUUCACUACAAGAAUCAAGCAGUUCUAACCAUAAUUUAAAUAAACAGCAUUUUCUGCAAGUCGGCAAUACUUAAUUGCCUUUAAUUUAAAUAAGCAGUUCUAACCAUAUAAGUGGCUCCAUAUAUACAUUUAAUUACCUUACAGAAGCGCUUCAGGUUCUCAAUAGCAGUACUUUCUGCAAGUCGGCAAUACUCGUCAAUUGAGUAUGCAGAGCACCCAUUAGCUAGCACGCAAAAAGCAGAUGUGAGCUUCUGAUGAGGUGAUAGACCUUGUCGGCUUACGGCAUCUAGCCUCCUUGCAAAGUAAUGGUCAUGAUUGACAACUGCGUUCAAGAUGCUUUCAAAAAGCUCUCUCCUUAUCCGAAACCGCCUCCGAAAAUCAUGAGCAGGAAAUCUCGGACACUCGAUGAAAUAAUCUUUCAUCAUUAUGUCAUGACACUCUUCUCUGUCACGCUGCACAUAUGAAUGCCCCGUGACAGAACCACAAUGGCUAGAUUCGCCAUGGUGCUCAGAUUGCAUAAACGAGUUGACAAGUUCAACUUCGGCGUUGAACAAUUCUGCAUCCUCAAUCUCGAUCCUUGCUUGGUAUUGUGCCAUCUGCAUUGCCAUGCUAUGCCUUCUUCUAUCACCCAUUGAUGAGACAUUGAGGAUUUUUAGGAAACAAAAACUCUUUGAAAGUUGAAAGAUUGGUGAAUAUAGAGGAUGUUUGAGGGUUGAAAGGUUGUGUGAUCAACAAACAUUGGACAUAUGUUUAUAUAAAGGAUGAUUGAUGAAAGUUGAACGGUUGGUGAAAGUUGAAAGUUUGGUGUUGAACGGUUGGUGAAUUGAAAGUUAGCCCAAGGUUGAAAGAUUGGUGAAAGUUGAAGUCUUGCUUGUGGAAAAUUUAGUGAUUUUUCAAUAUUUAUCUGAAUUUAAAUUUUUUUAGAUUAAAAUGUUCAUAAAAUUAAUUUACAAUAGUCUACAUAUUUAUUUAUUUUUUAAAAAAUUUAAUUUAAGAAAAAAAAUAGUCUAAUUUCAUUCUUUAAUAAUUCCGAACUAAAAGUUUAGGCUAUAACGGUUGGAGUAGAAAAACUAUUUCUGGGCUACAAGCUAAAUUUUUCGGGUUAAAAUAUUUGACUUUUAGCCCAACCAUUGGAGAUGGUCUAAAGGAAGAUGAAUUAUUCUAUUAAAAGAGGUGGGAGGAUUGAGCUAGACCGCACAAUAGGUCAACUACUAAGUAUUGAACUCAACACAUAUAAUACUUUAUCGUCAUUUGUGUGAGUCAAAUAUGAAACUUUUCUUUACUAGUAAAAAAAAAAUACCGUUAGAUUGUAGUACUAUUUAAUAGUAUCUAUUCCUUAUUUAGCCGCCAAACAAUUAAAUAAUGGAGGCAAAUCACGAUUAAAGGCUUGAGAUUAACUUCAAGUCAUCAGAUUCAGAGAAUCAUGAUUUCACCAAUUUAAAAGAUAGAAAAUGUGUUUAUCGACUUCAAAAGUAAGUGGCAUGGUGGUUAUCUCGCGAGGAUCAAUAAUCUCAUGCUAUCCAAAACAAUAAUUUAUUUAUUUUAUUAUUUUCUUAUAGACUGCGAGGUCAAAGAGUCAAAGAUGAUACCAACUGAAAGAGUAGCAACCAAAAUUUCUUUUUCGCAUCUACUUUACGUACACCUCAUUCCUUAUGCAAGCAAAACCAUGUGAUUCUGAUCAAUUUCCCUUCUGCUUUGGUUUCUUGUGCUAGAGUUUUCAAGGAAUUUGUAUUCACAAAAUAGCGUGCUUGUUAGAGACUAACAAAUAUUUUAUAAUUAGUAACAACGUAAUUUUUACAAAAACAAUAUAUAUUUUGACACUAAUUUAUAAAAAAGAGAAUUCAAACUUAGUUGCAAUGAAUUUGUUAUAAAAAAAUAAAAAAAAUAAAAAAAAACUUUGUUGCAAUGAAUUAUUUUCAGAAGCUAUGUCCUUGUUUCGCUAGUUUGUUUGUUUUGUUGAAGAUUUGUAGCUAUUUUUUGUUAUUGUUAUUCCAAAAAUGUCAUUUACAUUGCACCAUUCACGUAGAAAUCCAUCGCCGUGCUUGAAAUUGCAGAUAAUGAAUGAAAAAUCAUAAAAUGUACAGGAAGGAGCAACAUUGGUACAACAAUUCUACGGCUUAGUACGACGACUGCCGCUGUAUGUUCCGUGAAGAUAUAUUUUCAAAUCCUCGGCGUUGUUUCUGGAAAUAAGGAUGAAGACUAUGGACUCCCUCUAGACAUACCGGUAUCUGCAUUUCAAUCAAGCAUGACACCUACACAGAUAAUUCAUCCUCAGUGCACAGGAAGACCAAACCCUUACGAGUGGAAAAGAGAAAGCAAUCGGAAACAAGUGUACUAGAGAAACAGGACACCACUUACUGCUGGACGGAAAGCAAACAUCUCUUCUUGACCAGAUAGCUGGGAUAUUAUACCGGUUGGGGCACCUCCAGAACUCACAUUACCUUCUGCUAAAACAUCGCGGCGAAGUUUUGAACCUUCCGUCUCUGUUUCAAACUGUUAUGAUAUGAAUGAUUUCCUUCCCAUUUGGUAGCAUGGUGAUCGUUGACUAUCAACGUUUUAUUCUUUCCUUUUGUAAAAAUAUUUACUUAGCUGAUUUGUAGGAAUUACGGGAUGUGAUUGUAUCCUUACAGUUUGUAUAAGAACUCUAGCCUAGCUUGUAUAUUUCAAUGAAUCAAUACAUUCUAUUUUUAAGAUGGUACCAGAGAGUCCAAGAUCCUAGGAUUUUUUUUGUUUCCUUGGUUUCUCUUAGUUCCUUUUUCUUCGGUUUUUCUUGUGAGCAAAGUUGUCUUUUUUUGCCAUGGGAGACUCCAAGUCGGUUGAGGUGUUGAACGAUCCCUCAAGCCCUUUCUAUAUUCAUCACUCUGAUAAUCCAGGGAUGCAUCUUGUUUCCACUCCACUUACUGGAAACAAUUAUAGCACAUGGUCUCGUUCAAUGCGUAUUGCCCUUAGCGCAAAGAACAAAUUUGGUUUUGUUGAUGGGUCUGUGAAGAAGCUGUCAGACAACAAAGCAACUGAAGCUGCUCUUUGGCAGUGCUGUAAUGACAUGGGUCUCAUGUGGAUUUUAAAUUCUGUGAGUUCUGGGUUAUCAAACAGUGUGGUUUGUGCAGAAACUGCACAUGCUGUUUAGGAGGACCUCAAGACUCGUUUUUCGCAAGACAACGUCCCGCAAAUUUUUGAGAUUCAGCGUGACAUUGCACGCCUCACUCAAAAUCAGAUGUCUAUGUCUGACUAUUAUUCCCAAUUGAAGGGUUUAUGGAAUGAAUUAUCUUCUUACGGCAGCCAUAAAAACUGCUCAUGUGGUGCCAUGGAAGACCGUAACGAGAAAGAGGAGCAGAAUAAGGUUAUGCAAUUUUUAAUGGGGCUUGAUGAUUCAUAUGCAACAAUGAGAGGUCAGAUUCUGCUUGUAAAGCCAUUACCUUUAGUGCUCAAAGUUUUUUCAAUGGUUAACCAAGAGGAGAAGCAACGUGGAAUUGCAGCCAUCCCACAACCAAGUGUGGAAGGAGCAGCCAUGGCAGUUCAAGGUGGUCGAGGUAAUCAACACAGUCGUGGUAGCCAAGGGAAUCGCAAGCCGCUACAUUGUGAUUAUUGUGACAUGGACCAUCACACCAGGGAGACUUGCUACCAGCUUCAUGGAUAUCCCGAGGACCAUCGUCUCUAUAAAACAGGGGGAGCAUUUGGUAUGUCGCCUUCACAAGUCUUUGUAUGGAUUAAAGCAGGCCUUUCGGCAGUGGUUUUUUAAGUUUUCUGAGGCUAUUUGUGCAGCUGGGUAUACACAGUCCAAAGCCGAUUAUUCCCUUUUUACAAGAAAAGUUGGCAAACCAUUCACAGCUCUCCUUAUUUAUGUUGAUGAUAUCUUGAUCACUGGUAAUGACAUGACGGCUAUUGGUUCUCUUAAAUCUUUUUUGAAUAAACGCUUCCGCAUCAAAGAUUUAGGAGCCCUUUAACAUUUUUUAGGAAUAGAGAUUGCCCGUUCAAAAAAGGGGAUCUUUAUUUCUCAAAGAAAAUAUUUAUUGGACAUUUUGAAAUAUGUGGGUCUUUUGGGAGCACGAUCAGCUAGCUUCCCUAUGGAACAAAAUUUGAAGCUACUUCCUAAUGAUGGAGAUUUGCUUCACGAUCCAUCCAUGUAUCGAAGAUUGAUAGGACGUUUGAUAUAUUUAACUAUUACUAGACCCGAUAUUACUUUUGUAGUGAACACGUUGAGUCGUUUCAUGCAACAUCCUUACAAGCCUCACUAUGAUGCAGCUUUACGUGUUUUGAGAUAUUUGAAUAACACUCCAAGUCAAGUUAUUUUGUUUUCCUCACAAAGUUUGUUACGAUUGAAGGCUUUUUGUGAUGCCGAUUGGGCAGGGUGUCCGGUGACUUGACAUUCUACUACCAGAUAUUGUGUUUUCCUUGGAGAUUCUUUAAUUUCAUGGAAAAGCAAAAAGCAGAAGACUGUCUCAUUAUCUUCUGCAGAAGCAGAGUACCGUUCAAUGGCUGCUACCUGUUGUGAGCUCACUUGGUUACAAAGUCUUUUAUGUGAUUUACGUAUUAAAGAUAUAGGCCCAGCUAUUUUACACUGUGAUAACCAAGCGGCUCUUCACAUUGCCGCUAAUCCUGUUUUUCAUGAGCGGACACGCCAUAUAGAGAUUGACUGUCAUUUUGUUCGAGAUAAAAUUCAAGAAGGAAAGGUAGUCACCAAAUUUGUUCCAUCUUCAAGGCAAGUUGCAGACAUAUUCACGUAGCCUUUAGGAAAAGAACAGUUCCGUUUUUUGUUGAGCAAGUUAGCGAUUUUUGACAUUCACUCGCCAACUUGAGGGGGAGUGUUAUGAUAUGAAUGAUUUCCUUCCCAUUUGGUAGCAUGGUGAUCGUUGACUAUCAACGUUUUAUUCUUUCCUUUUGUAAAAAUAUUUACUUAGCUGAUUUGUAGGAAUUACAGGAUGUGAUUGUAUCUUUACAGUUUGUAUAAGAACUCUAGCCUAGCUUGUAUAUUUCAAUGAAUCAAUACAGAAGAUUAUUCAUACUGUCAUUCUAUUUUUAAGACAAGCUGGAAACUAAAAGCAACAAUUGCACAUGCUCUCAAUAUCAUUUGUUUAAGAAUUAGACCGAAAUGUUACCAGCCAUAACAUUACUAAAAAAUAACCUUUAACAGAAGUGAACACUCACCUCUCCAAAUCAAAAGGAGCACCCUCUUCAGUUCCUUGAAAUAAUUCAUCAAUAGAAGAUGCUGCCGAAAAAAAUAGACGACAAUGCAGCUGUGUUUCUCCUCCUACUCACUAUCAUUCGAACGGUCUGCUCCAUUAUCUCUAUUACUUGAUCAAUCAGCAGUAAAUGUCUCCUCUCCGUCUAGUCGUUUAUCUUUUUGAUCAACUCUCUCUGUAUAGUCUUUCAAAGAGCAAUCUGUAUUGAGAGACUGAGUAAUGUUUGUAUGUACAUGCGUACGUGCGAUGAUGAGUAAGAUCCCUGUAAUUUUUCCAUGAAAGUGUGCUGUGAUGUGUGCAUUGUAAGAGUGAUUGAACAUUGAAGUAGUGAAUUGAGUGCUUCUUCUGUUGGUUUCCUAUUUUUUGUACUUGAUUAUCUCAUACUCCCUAUCCCUAACCUUGUGUGUGUUUCAACGAGGAAUUCUUGACGUUGCAUAGUAGAACUCAUUAAAGCCCGAUUCUCAUCAUCGAGGUCGAUAAAAGAAAUCAACGAAGCACAAACAGACAGAACUUUGAAGAUGAACUUAUUUCCUUUCAAUAGUCAGGAACUAUCAACGGCACUGAGCUGGAACAACCUGUUCUUCCUGAAUAUCUUGAGUCUUAAGGAACUUCAUCUCCGUUUCUAAGAGCAUGUUUGGUAUUCUAUUUAGAAACUUGGACUUGAAAAUUUUGAUUUGUUCAAAGAACAUAGUUCUAACUACAAUUCAUAAGACUCAAAAAUUCAUUUGGUAUGAGAACUUGAAACUUAUUUUUAGAUCACUAUCAAAUAUUCUAAGACAACUCCGCCAUGUAAGUUUAUCUUACAUUGCCGGUCCCAAGCCCGGAUAAAGGAGGAGGGGGAGGGCGUCAGGUAGUCGACAGCCGGCACUCCAUGAUCACGUCGAAUCCUUAUGAAAAUGAAUCCAGAACGAAAUCGCGCUAAAGCUAGGGCGUCACCCGUAAGUGGCGCGCUGUGUGGCCCGAGCACAGUGAUAAGUGAGCAAGGGUCGCUGUAUCUCCAUCAGCACCCGGAUGCAGUGUUAAAUGAGUAAGGGGGCUAUAGAAACUUCUUUUCGAACGACUCCACUCAAAGUUGUUUGGGAGCAUAUGCUCCUAUCAACUUUACACGGGACACACAAAAGAAGUACUUUGAUCCUAUUAGACGGGGAAGGGUGAAGAAGCUAGGACAGAAGGGUAGAGUUCAAGAGCAAAAUGCGUUUAGGAACGUAGAAUAUAGGAACCUUGACGGGAAAAUCUAUGGAAGUAGUAGAAGUUAUGGUGAGGAGAAGGAUAAAUAUUAUGUGCCUACAAGAAACUAAGUGGGUUGGUCGUAAGGCAAAGGAUCUAGAAAACUCAGGGGUUUAAACUAUGGUAUUCGGGCACAAAUAGAACGAGAAACGGUGUUGGCAUCAUCGUGGACAAGACCUUGACACAAGAUGUUGUAGAUGUCAAGAGGGUAGGAGAUAGAAUCAUAGCAAUCAAGAUUGUAAUAGGACAAGAACUUAUCAAUGUGAUUAGUGCGUACGCACCUCAAGUAGGGUUGGAUACGAGUUCGAAGGAGAAAUUUUGGGAAAACCUUGGAGACUUGGUGCAAGGAAUUGCUCAGACGGAGAAGUUAUUUAUAGGAGGAGAUUUAAAUGGACACGUGGGCAGGGAGACAGGCAACUAUGGAGGUUUUCAUGGUGGCCAUGGUUUUGGGGAGAGAAACGAGGAUGGGGAAGCUAUCUUGGAUUUUGCAAUGGCAUAUGAUCUCUUCUUAGCCAACACCUUUUUUAAGAAGAGAGAAGAACAUGUGAUCACCUACAAGAGUGGGUCGUAAAAAACACAAAUAGAUUUUCUUCUAAUGAGGAAAGGGGAUCGUAUAACUUGUAAGGAUUGCAAAGUUAUACCAGGAGAGAGCGUGGCUAAUCAACAUCGCUUGUUGGUGAUGGAUAUACAUAUCAAAAGAGUGAGAAAAAAGAACAAGACUUGGAAGUGCCCAAGGACUAGAUGGUGGAAUCUAAAAGAAGAAAAACAAGCCAUUUUCAAAGAGAAAGUAAUCACCCACUGUGUGUGGGAUAGAGAGGGGGAAGCUAACCAACUGUGGGAUUCCAUGGCUAGUUGUAUCCGAAAAGUAGCAAAAGAGGUAUUAGGAGAGUCCAAGGGCUUUGCCCCACACCAAAAGGAAUCUUGGUGGUGGAAUGAGGAGGUACAAACAAAGGUGAAGGCUAAGAAGGAAUGUUGUAAAGCCUUAUACAAGGAUAGGAUCGAUGAAAAUGGUGAAAGGUAUAGAAAAGCGAAGCAAGAGGCGAAGAAAGCUGUGAGAGAAGCUAAGUUAGCGGCUUAUGACGAUAUGUAUAAGCGACUAGAUACCAAAGAAGGAGAGUUGGAUAUCUAUAAACUAGCUAGAGCAAGGGAAAAGAAGACAAGAGACCUAAACCAAGUGAGGUGCAUCAAGGAUGAGGAUGGAAAUGUUCUUGCUACAGAGAACGCGGUUAAAGAUAGAUGGAAAGGUUAUUUUCAUAAUCUUUUCAAUGAAGGACAUGAAAGGAGUGCUUCUUUAGGGGAGUUGAGUAACUCAGAAGAGUGUAGAAACUACUCUUUUUAUCGUAGAAUCCGGAAGGAAGAAGUGGUUGUAGCUUUGAAGAAGAUGAAGCAUAGAAAAGCAGUAGGCCCAGACGAUAUACCAAUCGAAGUGUGGAAAGUUUUGGGAGAGACAUGUAUAACAUGGCUCACUGACCUUUUUAAUAGGAUUUUGAAAACGAAGAAGAUGCCAAAUGAGUGGCGAAUGAGCACUUUGGUGCCUAUCUACAAGAAUAAGGGCGAUGUACAAAAUUGCAUGAACUAUAGGGGUAUUAAGCUAAUGAGUCAUACAAUGAAGCUCUGGGAGAUAGUCAUUGAGCAUAUAUUGAGGCAAGAAACACGGGUUUCGGACAACCAAUUCGGGUUCAUGCCAGGUCGCUCACCAUGGAGGCAAUCUAUCUCUUACGAAGAUUGAUGGAAAGAUAUAGAGAUGGGAAAAAGGAUUUACACAUGGUCUUUAUAGAUUUGGAAAAAGCGUACGAUAGGGUCCCAAGAGACAUUCUUUGGAGGAUUUUAGAGAAGAAAGGAGUACGAGUAGCAUAUAUCCAAGCUAUACAGGAUAUGUACGAAGGAGCAAAGACUGCCGUAAGAACUCAUGAAGGACAAACCGAAAGCUUUCCCAUAACUGUAGGAUUACAUCAAGGCUCAUCCUUAAGUCCUUAGCUUUUUGCGUUGGUAAUGGAUGAGUUAACAGGACAUAUUCAAGAUGAUAUUCCUUGGUGUAUGCUUUUCGCAGACGAUAUAGUGUUGAUAGAUGAAACUCAGGAAGGGGUAAAUGCAAAGCUUAACCUUUGGAGAGAAGUGUUGGAAUCUAAAGGUCUUCGCCUAAGCCGAUCAAAGACAGAAUAUAUGGAGUGCAAGUUCAGUGCAAAUGGAGGCCAAAACGAGUUAGGGGUGAGGAUCGGAGAUCAAGAAAUACCAAAGAGCGACCGUUUUCGUUACCUAGGAUCUAUCUUGCAAAAGAACGGAGAAUUAGAUGGAGAUCUCAACCAUAGAAUACAAGCUGGAUGGAUGAAGUGGAAGAGUGCAUCCGGCGUGUUGUGUGUGACCGUCGUAUGCCACUGAAGCUCAAGGGAAAAUUUUAUAGGACGGCAAUAAGGCCGGCGAUGCUGUAUGGCACAGAAUGUUGGGCGGUGAAGCAUCAACACGUACACAAAAUGGGUGUAGCGGAGAUGAGGAUGCUUCGUUGGAUGUGUGGGCACACGAGAAAGGAUAAGAUUAGGAAUGAGGAUAUCCGGGGUAAAGUAGGAGUAGCCGAAAUUGAAGGAAAGAUGAGAGAAAAUCGGUUACGUGGUUUGGACAUGUGCAAAGAAGGCCUACUGACGCUCCGAUUAGAAGAUGCGACUAUGGGACAGAGGUUCAGGGUCGAAGGGGUAGAGGAAGACCUAGGAAAACUUUGGAAGAGACCCUAAGAAAAGACUUAGAGUACUUGGAUCUAACGGAGGACAUGACACAGGACAGAACACAAUGGCGUUCUAAGAUUCAUAUAGCCGAUCCCACUCAGUGACGUGGAUUUUCCAAGUCUCCAACCGAGAAGUUUUCCUCACUCGGGAAAUUAAGGGAACACUACCUCAACCUACAUGCUCCACUCACAAAGCUUCAACAAAAGAAAAUUCAAAGAACUUAGCGAAGAAGGCUUUGGUGUAUUUAACACAAUACGUUGAAAUGAAGGAAAGCUUAUUUAUUGAUAUCCCCGAUAAGUUACAAAUAUGUACAUAUACUUGAGUCAAAAUAAACAAACAAGAGGGAGCCUUCACAAAGGUGGCUUAGGAGAAGUCUCAGCAGUCGGUAGAGCCCCAGAAAGAGAAGGCACCAGAGGGGGAUCAUUUGGAGCCUCAGUACUGGACAAAACCCUAGAAGGAGGAGGCAUCAGAGGUUGAUCAUUUAGAGCUUCAUUACGCGGUACAGCCUCAGAAGACGAAGGCAAUAAAUGCCUUUGGAACAAACCCACAAAUCUCUGAUGAUCAAGUAAAACCUGACCAUCAGAUUCCUUCAUCUGGUCAAGCUUCCUCUUCAUGUUUGUAGCAUAGUCAUGUGCGAGUCGGUGCAACUGUUUAUUCUCAUGCUUGAGCCCUCUAAUCUCCUGUUUGAGACUCAUCACUUCAGCCGCCAAUGAUUCAACUUGGCGGGUUCGAGCAAAUAGGCGUUGGGCCAUAUUAGACACAGAACCUGCACACUGAACACUGAGAGCCAGAGAAUCCUUAACAGCCAACUCAUCAGACCGUUUGGAAAGUAGUCUGGUAUCUUUGGGAGUGAGAAGGUUCCUGGCCACUACCGCAGCAGUCAUAUCAUUCUUCAUCACGGAAUCCCCAACGGUAAGAGGACCAGUAGGGGAGACGAAUGAUGGGCGCCAUAUGUUGUCUGGAGAAGGCGGGGCUGCCUCUUCAACAAGGUUCAAGUCAAAACGACGGUCGGAGGGGCCAGACAUUUUCAAAGGUGUUAAAGAGAGAAGAGGUCGGACAAAUCAAGAUCUUAGAAGUGCAAGAAUGGAGCUUCUACUAAUGGAUAUUCAAGUAUGCUUUGGAACUUAAUGUCAGCCCCUAUAAAAAUCUGCACUCGACGAAGCUUCAGAAAUCGAAGAGGCGUUUGCUUUCUCAAAAGCUGGGCUGCUCAGAGACCACGAGGGUUGAUCUCAGAAAUCGAAGAGGCGUUUGCUUUCUCAAAAGCUGGGCUGCUCAAAGACCACGAAGGCCGAUCUCAGAAAUCGAAGAGGCUUGCUUUCUCAAAAGCUGGGCUGCUCAGAGACCACGAGGGCCAAUCUCAGAAUUCGAAGAGGCACCUACUUUUCCAGCCUUGUCAGCACCUGUCACACGCACACUCAGCUUUGCGGAAAUUAUGGGCAUUCUGUCGAAGAUUUCUGGCGAAAUAGAAAGCACAUGAAUCGUACUGUUCAAUCACCCACUUCCCACACGCAACAGUAACUCAUGGGUACCACAUAUAACUUUGCUAAAGUUCUCUGACAAAGUUGAGACACGUGAAGCUUGCAGCUCCCGCUACAUCGCUCUGACCAAGAAGGGUAAAAGAAUUGCAAAGAAACAACACUAACAAAGUUUAGACACAUAAAUUUUGAAGGUCUAGCUACCAUAUUAUUACCCACAAGGGUAAAGGAACAGUACCACUGCUGGAUAAUUGGAAAGUCCCGGUGUGUCAACCUCUGUGCUUCGUGGCAAGGUAGACUAGCAAACAUGCCCAACCUUUACUCACAUUCGAGAAAACACGCCCAACAGGAUUGCUUGCUCCAAAAUCGAAGAGGCACCGCCCUCCGAAUCUCGAGAGCCAGACUCCCAACAUGAUUACUUUCUCAAAAAUCGAAGAGAGGGUAAAGGAACAGUACCACUGCUGGAUAAUUGGAAAGUCCCCUGUGUGUCAACCUUUGUGCUUCGUGGCAAGGUAGACUAGCAAACAUGCCCAACCUUUACUCACAUUCGAGAAAACACUCCCAACAAGAUUGCUUGCUCCAAAAUCGAAGAGGCACCGCCCUCCGAAUCUCGAGAGCCAGACUCCCAACAUGAUUACUUUCUCAAAAAUCGAAGAGAGGGUAAAGGAACAGUACCACUGCUGGAUAAUUGGAAAGUCCCUGUGUGUCAACCUCUGUGCUUCGUGGCAAGGUAGACUAGCAAACAUGCCCAACCUUUACUCACAUUCGAGAAAACACUCCCAACAAGAUUGCUUGCUCCAAAAUCGAAGAGGCACCGCCCUCCGAAUCUCGAGAGCCAGACUCCCAACAUGAUUACUUUCUCAAAAAUCGAAAAGGCACCGCUCUCCGAAUCUCGAGAGCCAGACUCCCAGCAGGAUUGCUUUCUCAAAAAUCGAAGAGGCAUCGUUCUCCGAAUCUCGAGAGCCAGAUCCCCGACAGGAUUGCUUGUUCGAAAACCGAAGAGGCACCACUUUCCCAACUUCAAGAGUUGGAUCUCCUUGGAUAAAGCUUGUCUAUAAUCUUCACACGCAACAUCAGCUUUCCAGAUACCACAGACCACUUUUUCAAAGUGCUCUGACAGAGUUAAAACAUGUGAAGCUGGCAGCUCCCACUACCGUGCUAUGACCAAGCAGGGUAAAGGAAUAGCAUUAUUACUUGAUGUUAGGGAGACUCCUAUAUAUGUCGACCUCCAUCCCUAACGGACAGGCAGACCUGCAAAAAUGCUCAACCCUUUCUCUUAUCUGAGAGGGCACUCCCAACGAAGCCUUUCGAAAUAUUCAGGUUUCUUUCCCCCCGAUAAUACCUCUGUAAACAAGCUAUACUAGAGCAAGAAUAUCUCAUAUCAUCAGGGUUAAAAGCAAGAGUAUCCCAUAUCAUGCUUUUUCCCUGUCUUUUCCUUUGGCCUUGUUCUUACCUGCAAGACAAGGAGAAAGAGAGCAAUCAGUCAGCACUUGGAAUCAAGCUUCCAGCCAGGAACUGACUGCCUGGAACCCCUUACCUGAUUACUUACCUGGCAUUGCUCUCAAGUACUCAUCUUUAACAUCUUAUGCUCCCAGGGAAGAUACCGCAUCUGCCUGAGGAACAGAUAGGGCAAGUGAGAAGGAUACAAGGAAGCAUGUGGAGACAAGCGUAACAGCACACGUGCCGAUACAUCCACUACUCUGUCAAAAGCAAAAGUAUCCCAUAUCAGCAGGGUCGAAAGUACUCUAGAUUUGAUGGACUUGUUUUGACCCUCAAAUUCUUCAGUCGGCCUUAUACUCUGGAGGAAACCAGAAAACCCUCCAGCCCGGUUCAAGAAUAAGCCUGUGGAAAGUUACUUCUUCAAAAGCAAAAGUAUCCCAUAUCAUCUCUUCUCAUUUUUCUUCUCUUUAUCCUUCAUGCUGCCUGCAAGAUAGGGAGAAUGUGAACAAUCAGCCGGAGCUCUGAUUGCUUACCUUGUCUGUCACCUCUUUCAGCAGAUCCCCUAGCCCGGCGACUUGGGGAACUCCUACUACAUGGUUUGUAUCGCGCUUGACCAAGCCUGAAACUACAAGUAAGCUUCAAAUGAAAUUGAUACAUUACCUUGUGCAUCUCCACCAGUUACAGAUACCACCCCUGGAUGGAGGAAAAGUACUUCCAGAGAAGAUGCCACAUCUACCUAUGAGACAGAUAAGGCAAGUCAAGACGAUACCACACUCCGGUACUUAGAAGUUUCGUGGUUACGAGAUCAUUCUCCCACAAUAUUUCCUAAUGUCAUAUGUACUAAAUCAUUCACUUGUACUCACUAAAGGAGAGCUUGAACCUAUGUACUUGUGUAAACCCUUCACAAUUAAUGAGAACUCCUCUAUUCCGUGGACGUAGCCAAUCUGGGUGAACCACGUACAUCUUGUGUUUGCUUUCCUAUCUCUAUCCAUUUAUAUACUUAUCCACACUAAUGACCGGAGCAAUCUAGCGAAGAUCACAAAAAGUGACCGUUUUCGCUACCUAGGAUCUAUCUUGCAAGAGAACGGAGAAUUAGAUGGAGAUCUCAACCAUAGAAUACAAGCUGGAUGGAUGAAGUGUAAGAGUGCAUCCGGCGUGUUGUGUGACCGUCGUAGGCCACUGAAGCUCAAGGGAAAAUUUUAUAGGACGGCAAUAAGGCCAGCGAUGUUGUAUGGCACAGAAUGUUGGGCGGUGAAGCAUCAACACGUACACAAAAUGGGUGUAGCGGAGAUGAGGAUGCUUCGUGGGAUGUAUGGGCACACGAGAAAGGAUAAGAUUGGAAAUGAGGAUAUCCGAGGUAAAGUAGGAGUAGCCAAAAUUGAAGGAAAUAUGAGAGAAAAUCGGUUCCGGUGGUUUGGACAUGUGCAAAGAAGGUCUACUGACGCUCCGGUUCGAAAAUGUGACUACGGGACAGAGGUUCAGGGCCGAAAGGGUAGAGGAAGACUUAGGAAAACUUUGGAAGAGACCCUAAGAAAAGACUUGAGUACUUGGAUCUAACGGAGGACAUGACACAAAACCGAGCGCAAUGGCGUUCUAGGAUUCAUAUAGCCGACCCCACUUAGUGGGAAAAGGCUUUGUUGUUGUUGUUGUUGUAUCAAAUAUUCUAAGACAAAAAAUGCAGGCUGGGAGGCAACCGUGAAUCUUCAAAGCUUGAGAAAGAAAAAAAAAAACUCAGAUUGCCAAACAGUUCAAGUGCCCACUAUGCGCACCACCAUAUCAUGACUAUAGCAGCAACGACGGAGUCGAAUAGCAGCGAAGUUGAACUAAUCUCAGGUUGAACGGCGCUCGUGGCGGAUAUCGUCCUCUGAAAUUUGUUUGAGUAACCAGUGAGAGAAGUGAGGGAGAGAGAAGGAGAGAAAAGAGAUAGGACAGGGAGAGAGAAAAAGCAGACAAAUGGUUCUCAUCUAAAAACUAUAAAUUCUCACAUUUUCUGUUUUCAACAAGUAAAAAAAUUUCUUCAGUUAGUUUUUAGUUGUCUUCUUGACAAAAAUAUACCAAACAAGAAUUCUUCAUGAUUUUUGUUUAAAAAGCUGAAUUUGAGAUACCAAACAGACCCUAAAAUCUUUCACAUGGACAUCAGGAUAUGGUUCUAGCAAGAAGAUUAUGAGAAGGGAAGGGAGGUGAAGCCGGUCAUUGCUUUUGACCUCCGGGCGCAUGGUGGCUUGGGACCGAAAGCGAGGUAAAACUUAUUGAAGAUGCACUCGAGGUCCUCUAUUUGAUUGCUCCCAGCCUCUCACCCCGAUAUUACUAGUAACAAAAUGCUACUUAACAUUAGGGGUGGGCAUAGUUCAGUUCGGUGAGGUUUUGAAGCCAAAACCAGAAUGAAACCAAACUAUUUGCUUCGAUUCGGACGUUUUCCGUUCAAUUUUUAAGAAAAAAUACAAUUUAAAAUUUACACCUAUGUAUGCAUUAUGCAUAAGACGGUCUCAUUUCAUUCAUCUUAAUAUGUAUUAUUCUUAUUCUUUGAGAAAUUAUCAUGGGUCCAAGAAUCAAUGCAUAACUGAUGGUGGUUUUGAACUCUAUUUCUAUGUAAUUGAUUGUAUGUCCAGCUAAUGAAUCGUGAUCCUUUGUUAAUAAGUAAUUGCAGGGUUCUUAUGAUGAAGACUUCUAUGCGGAGAUACUGAACGAUGAUAUAAUCAAACUAGAUGAAUCUUCGGUGCAUAUGCUGCUCAUAUGAUGCCGGUCGUUGCCAACAACUCAGAGCCUGAACAUCAAUCUCGACAACAUAUGCAAGCCAUUUUGUCGCAAGAAGCUCCUUUCCAAGGUACUGCAAACCUAAGAAUCCAUUUGAGAAAGAGAAAGGAAAAGUUUCGUGCAGAGUCACAGGAAUCUUCCAACUCAGACAAGUCGCCAAAAGGCUUUAGUGAAUAGGAUGAACGAUCGACAUGUGUUAUUAUAUAUAUAUAUAUUUUAGAAAGUAUCUUGGGGUCCAAGAAUGAAUAUUUAAUCAAACGUUUAUUAAUAUUUGCGGUGUAGUUCGGUAUCGGUGCGUUUUCAAAAGUUAAAAUCGAAAUCAAACAGUCUCCUAGACUGCGGUUUGGUUACAAAACCGAAAUUGUGUCAAAAUUGACAAAUCAAACCAUUUGAUACGAUCCGAUUUGAUUCGUGUUUCGUUUUUGUUUCCAAGUGCCUCUACCUAACAUUGAGCCGUGCGAAUUUGAUUAUGGGCCUUGAUAGAGAAGGGCCUUCUUGGGCCUAUAACCAAGGUGGGCCCCUAGGGCUACAAAGGCGAAGAGGACAAGCAAUAGACAUGUUUCUCAAUUUUCCACACAACCGAGUUUAAUGUGGGGUGUUUACCAAAAAGUAAAGAGCUUAAUGUGGGGUUUUUAAAACUUAAAUACAAAUUAAUAAGAAAUGGAUGAUCCCUUGUUUGAUGAAAAAGUUGAAAUUACCCAUUUGACCCUUACAAUUUCCAAUCAGGAAUCCUUGUUACAUUGAUACAACGUUCAAAUAACAGGCCAAAUUAAGGUGGCAUUCUAAAAAUUAAAAUAUUGGUCAAGACGUGACACCUUAUCUCAUUUGUAUUGUUGUCACCUGUGAGCAUCUAACUCAAUUUAUCAACAAACGCACUUGUGGAUUCUUUUUAUCAUCCAAUCUUCCCCAAUUUUAGUCAAAUUUUUAAGUAGUAUAUGCUUUUUUGGGAUUAUGACUGAUAUGGAAUAAUCGGGGAUGUGAUUCUUAAGUCAUUUCAGCUUCUUCCUGGUCACAAGUUUGACUUCCAUACCAGCAACGGGUUUCAAACCCAAGACCUCCAGUUUUUAAUUUAAAAGAAGCCUCGCAAUUGCCUUUUACCACUAGGCCACUGGCUCGUUGUUAAAAUUUUCGGCUCGAUACCUUGUUAAAAUUAGGGUUGAAACACAUUUUCAACACAUAUGAUUCAUUUAUUUAUUGCUUGUGUGACAGGAAAACGGAAAUGAAAAUGAUACCCAUACCUUGCACUCUCAUUUCUUGUCAAUAUAAAGGAUCGUUUGGCGGUGUAUUUAGAUUGGAAAGUUACCUUAGGAUAACAAUAAACGUUUAUGAUUGAGUUGGGCAUAAAAGAUUAAAAAUAAUUUUAAAUUAUAAAAUCACAAUUUGAGCGCCUCUUAGACAAGCACACAACAUGUGAUUCUUUGAGAAGAAAAAAAACUCGCAUUUGGAAGAAGAAAAAAAAACAAAAUUGAUGUGUUUCGAACAAAGCGUUUUUUCCAAAAGUGUUUAUAAGCAGAAUUGAUCUCCCAAACGCUAGAAUAGCACAAACAAUGCACGUAUUCACGCUGAAAUUGCAGCGAAUGCAGGGCAAGGAAAAAAUGAGCAUUGUCCCAAUGCCACUAGAACCACACGUAUUAUAAUUUGUCUUUUGUCCCCCAGUUGGCAGAGUAAGACGGGACAGCCUCCCAUGUGCUGCUGUGCGUAUUGUUUGUUAAAAUAUGUUGACAUCGAAAAACUCUUAUGAUUUUCGUAAUAAGCAAGGGAGUCAACUCUUUAAAUGCGACAAAAGACCGAAACUUCUACUAAACUAACCCCAAUUAAUUAACAAUGAUUUAACCAUAACAACUUUGCACAACCUCGCCUCGUGUCAGAAGCUCGUGAUUUGUAGUCAUCGACUCAUCGAGGUAGUAGGAGGCUGUGAUUGCUAACGGAGCAGGACUUGCAUAGUACUACAAAUACACUGUUAGUGUGAUGUUUCACGCCGUGUUUAAUUGCUCUCUUGAUAAUGUCCUACAUUUACCUCGGGGUUAUAUGAUAUAAGUACAUUGCUGUUGUGAUAUCUCGUGCCGCAUAAGUUGCUCAAUAAUGUCCUAGAUUUACCUCAGUAACAACAUUUUUACACGUUAAUUUACCACCAAAUGAACAUUUUAACAGGUUCUAACUUUAUCCAAAGAGAGAGAAGUUUUGGACUCCAAUAGACGACAAUGUAGCAGAAAGAGUCUUGUACUCAAACGUCUAAAACAGAAAUGCACGUUCAGUUUUUGUCAGCUAAAAGUUUCCAAAACUCAAGGUCAAUAAUUGUAGUUCAAAUGGAGUUCCAAAUCCAAAACAGACGUUCCAACCAACAGAAACUGCCCAAAUAAACUCAGUAACUUACGUCAUCCGGCAUUUUCCGAAAACAGGUCGGUAAGACGAUCUCAAAUCCUUCGUUCCCUUUCGGGUAAACUGAUGAACUAACAUGGUUUGGUACGACUCAAAUGACUUGGAGCACCUCAGGUUCCACAUAACAGCUUUAAGCUUAAGGUAAGGAACCGAGCAAACCCAGCCGGUGUACAAGAAAGCAAUCUAACUACCACCUGGAGGAUUACACCCAUGCAAACAAUUUUCUUGCAGGAAAUACCGAAAACUUAUACGGCAUAAGACUAACAUACCUAGACCGGCAAAUUUAACCCGUCCUGGUCUAUUAAGGGUUGGUGGAUCGGAUCGCAUUGAGAGCACAGAACUGGUCAGUCUUGUAAGUAUUAAUAAGGUUUAAGAUGACAAAGUUUAAUUACUGUGGAAAUGUGAGAUGGCAGCUUGGGGCAAAUUUCUAGCUUUAACCUAACUCACUAACUUAUAUGCCCACAAGGAAUUGGUCUUAGUCAAAUAACACCCCAAUUGUCAUAACUAUGGUGAGAAGAUAAGAUGACAUCUUCAAAAUCCAUUGACAAACUGUUGUGUGUCGCCGUGAAAAUUCUACGAUGCUCCAGUGCACGGCGUACACCGAGCAAAGUAUGGUUGGAUGUGCGGUGCAAGAUCUAGCGGCCAAAAUCCCGGUGCACGCUAUACACUCACAGAGGUGAGUCUUUUUGUCUAACCAUUUCAGGAAGAAGUCUCUACUCAAACAUGAGUGCAACUCAGAGAAACCAAAAUGUGAUCAAAGUUACAAUAUAAUUUUCAUCCACAGCAAUCCCAUUGAGACAGAAAGAUAACGAAUAUGAAUAAAUAAGGAGUUCCUACACAAAUACAAAUAAAAAAGGAAAAAUUCAGAAACAAAAGACAAGGCAACUGAGAUUCUUCCUCUGCUAACAUACAUGAUUUGGCAGUAUAAGCAACACUUGCAGAAUCUCAAAUCCCUUAAACGAUACUAUAUAUUGCUAAUCAUAAUAAAACCGAAAUCCAGAACAACAUACCGCAAACCCGAAUUCCUCAUCCUCAAGAAGCAGAAGAAGGCCGAAUUUCCUCCGCCUCCGAAUUGAACCCAUUUUACGCUCUUCCACCACCUACAUUCCCAUUUUUUUUUAUUAUCAUAAUCCAGCUCAAAUCAGAGAAGUCACUGAAUCAAAUUAUGGCUCGGAAAAAAUCAUUUCUGGGAUUCAUUCCUCUUCCCGAUUCCUUCCCCUUCCCUCUCCUCCAAGAGCCUGCUGGACUCCUCGUCGGGCUGCGCGACCUUCUUCUGCGCAUCCUUGGCCUUCAGAGCCUGCAAUUUAGAGUGGUUGUAGUAGGCAACCCCCAAAAACGCGAGGCCGUAGCCGAACAGAUUGAUCGGGGUCACGGUGUCCUUGAUAACGGACCACGAAAAGGCGAUCAGGAGCCAAUCUUUCACCACUCCGGCAACAUUCAUCGUCAGCGCCGAGGUCUUUCCGACGAGCAAGAACACGGCGAGAUUCAGAGCAAAUGCGCAGACAGAAUUGGUCCCAAAAAUCACGAAAUCGAAAUGGAAGCUCGAGGAAUCGCGCAGAAUCGGGUACUCGACGAAGAUCCAGGGGACGAAGAGGAAAGCCAGACAGCAAGGUGCGACGUAGUAGAGAGAUGUUAUGGGGUUGAGGGUAAUGCCUUUGGAUGUGAGGAGGAUCUGGAUCAAGACAAGGCGGGUGGCCUCGAAUGCGACUGCGCCGAGCUGGAGCAUGACGCCCCAGGUGUCGAAUCGGGCCUCUCCGUAGGCGGCGAUGGCGACGCCGAUGGAAAUGGAGAUCAUGUUGACCAUGGUGUCAGUCUUGAAGGACUCCUUUUUGAAGGAGACGCCAAUGGAGUAGACCGCGACGGGCAUGAGGGCCUUGAGCAUCUGGAUGAAGGAGACGGAGAGGUAGAUGUAGGCGGAGUUGGAGAGCCAGAGGGAGAGGGAGUAGAGAGCGCCGAUGGGGACGACGGAGGAGAGGUAGAGGUCGCGGGACAUGGUGACGGGCUCGACGAGGCGGAAGACGCGGACGAGGAGGAAGGCCAGGGAGGCGCAGAAGGACAUGUGGAUCAUGGUGAGGGAGAUGGGGAAGGGCCAGUUGUACAUCUUCUUGUCGAGGAUGUAUUUGUUGUAGACGAUGACGGUGAAGGAGAGGAAGAUCCAGAUGGCGACGUAGGUGUAGGAGAGGAGGAUCUUUUUUAUCACCCCCUCGCUCAGGGAGCCACCUUUGCCCAUUUUGGAGGUGGGUUUUCGCCGGUGGUGACGGUGGCGAUGGCCGUGGUGGGGGAGAAAGGGAGAGAAGUGAGGAGGAGGAGGAGCAGGAGGAAGAAGUCAGAUUCAAAGUGAUAGAAGAAGGGAGUGAGAGCUGGAUUUUAGUGAGAGAAACGGGGGUAAUAUAAUAAUUAAAAAAUAUUAACUUUGGGAGUGCAUCUGGUGUGGAAGUUUCAUUUUUUAUUUGGUGUGGGAGGGGAGGUGCUAUUUAUUUAGGCUUUUGCGGGAAGAGUCUGCAUUUUUGUGCAAUUUUGCAUUUGAUUUUGAGGUAGUCACGAUUUUUUUGGAUUUGGAUUUAAUUUGUACUUUAAUCGUGGGAUGGGAGGGUGGGGGUGACAACUUUGAAACAUAUAUAUUACUGUCAGGCUUGCAUUAACUUAAAAGAUUAUAGUGCUAAUGCUUAUGAGAUUUUCUGUUCAUAUAUUAUUGUCACGUAUUCAUUAAAAGCAUGUCUAACAGUCUAGUUAAAUGCGAGGUUUUCAUUAUUUUAACAAAAAAUGCAGAAAAAUAAACUCUGACAGGCUAGCUAAUUGACUACCAAUCUUAACUAUGUGAAUAAUAAUUAGCUAAAUUUAGUUAGGAGGAGACAGUUAAAUUUUUGCUAAACAUUAGACUAUAAGAUUGUAUUGUUUGUAGGCUUGAGAAGAAAAAAAAAGGUUUGGGUUGUUAAGUUUAGGAAAAUCAUAUUAAAAUAUUUUAACUUAAGCUAAAAUAGUUAGUAUUGUUGGAUGUGAUGACUAGCCAAAUUAAUAUUUGGGUCAUUUGUUAGCUACAAUAACAAAAAUUUAACUAGCAUUGUUGGAGAUACUCCAACUAAACAUUAGAUAUUGCCAUAAAAAAAACAAACAAAAACUAACAUAAGAUAUUAUAUUUGUUUUUAGUGAUGAAUCUUAUGAUAAAUACAAAAUGAAACAAGAAAAUAUACAUUUACCGUGUCAAUAAUAGUUCCCUUAAAAAUAUACACAUUUAAUACUUCAAUAUGAUGACAUUUUUCUUCACUUGUAAAUAAGAUGUCUCAAACUGGAAUUCCAUAAAUAGCGUAUUCGAUACAAAUUUCUUUCACAUUUUAGUGUAAAUAUAUCGUUAUAUAGAAUAGAAUAAAAUAAAAUAAAAAACAGAUUACAAUCACAUAUUACUACAAUUUAGUAAUAUUAUUGUGCAUUUAUAGAGAAGUCUUAUGAUUGAAUCUUGUAAAUCAGAGUUUGGUACUAAUUUAUCCACGCUAUCUCUUGAUGUAAAUAUAUAAAUUUGAAAGAAAAAAUCAACAGAAAAUAUAAAAACGUCACGAUCAAAAUUUCUAGUGCACACAAUUAAAUGCCUUCCCAAAAAUGAAAAUCCAAACAGCGGCGAGCGUGUGGAAUGAAUGAUGAAGUGAAUUGAAAUGUGAGUUUCAAAUCCGAACGAAAGGGAGCAUAGAUUCGGAUUUAAGGAAGCAGAUCACAAGUUGCUUUACGCGACCUUGUAUAUUGUAAGUCGUUUGAAUCCUCACGUGGGCUGCGCCACGUUGACGAUCUGCGCCACGUGACCUCAGUAUUCGGUAUUCCUAUUCAAUUCAAUACAAAACCGCAACCCUUUUUCUCUAUUUUUGGGUCUGUGGGCUUUCGGGUACGGGCCUUCGGGUACGGGCCUUCUUUUUCAUUUCUUUCUUUUUAACUCUUCAUCAGGGUUGUUGUCGGUGAGAAAAUUCCAAAUAAGGGGAGGGGAUGUGCCUUAUUGGGAGGGUUUAUUGCAUUUCUUCUUCUACCUGGUCCACAUAAAAUAAUCAUUGCAUUGUUCUUCCAAAAUAAAAAUAAUCAUUGCAUUUUUUUGCUAUAUAUAUGCGGUUUGAUUGGGAAAUGAAAUCACAUUAUUUUGGCAAGAGAAUAAAAUUGAUAACAGGCGGAUUUAAACUAUAUUAUUAUAUGAUUGAUAUCUGAUAUAUUGUAAAGCCUACCCCAUUCAUACACCUUUUAAUGUAAAUAGUAUCGUGUAUCACCAAAAAAAAAAUAUUACAACGAGACCCGUCCAGAUCCUAAAACCAUAUAUAUCAAAUUUUAGCAUGAGAAUAGUACUAAAAGGAUUAUUGUUAAACCAAAUACAAAAAUGAUUGUAAAUAUGUUCUAAAUUUACUAAUAGAUCAACGGUAAUAUUUGUCUCUAUGUAUAUAUGAUUAAUAGAAAAUGAGGAAUUUGAUAAAGAAGAUCUCACAUGUCUUCUUAAAUAGUCUUGAUUCUCCUUGGUAUUCGAAUUUGAUGUUGAAUUGCCUGAAUUACUAAUUUCCCUAAUGGCUAGUUGCCCACCAAAACCCUUGUUCUUUCCCCAAUUAUUUCAUUUGAAAACUCGACCUGGAUUUUGACAGGUAACCAAUUUGUGAUGCGGAACGAUCCCAAGUGCUUCUUGGUUGUUAAGUUCUUCUCAAAUUAGGAUUAAUAGUCAGGCAAAUAUGUGUGAUUUAUUUGUGUUUUUUCUCUGAGCAUUUUUUUCUGAUAUAAUUCAUUAAUUCUAAUAAAAUAACUAUUGAAUAAAAGAGCUUAAUGCAGAAGAACUUUUUAAAAUGCUGAGCUGCUAGGCUGCUGAACGUGUUAUAUCACUUACUAUAAAGUUAUAUAAACCUAGUGCACUAUGCAUCGAUGAAUAAAUUACUUGUAAAGGCUUAUAAAAGGUUAAAUUACUCUUUAUAUAGCUAAUAAGUUUUAUGGUGGAACCUUAAUUUUUUUCAUAAUAUCAUAGCGUGUUAGUCCACGUGUGAAGCUCAACGGCCGCACGUGCUUCACGUCACUCAAUUCGUGUUGUCCACGUUUUUUGUUAGAACACACGUGUGAGGGGAUGUGUUAGAAGUGAAGGUAAAAAGAGUCCAACAUUAAUGAAAUGAGAAGCCUUGUAAGAGUUUAUAAGAGGUUAAGUUACAUUCUAUAUUGCCAAUUAGCUUAUAACUAUUGCUUUUUAAUAAGUUUUUAGAGCAACUCCAGUGUAGGAGCCCUCCCCCCAAGCUAUUCACUAUUUAAUCCACCCAGUGAACAGUCACUGCCCUUAAUGAAUAGUGCAUUCCCCUGGCAAUUGCCUUUUGCAUCUCCACCCCUACACUGAAUAGCCCUAGCAAUUGGUAAUAAAAUAUUAUUAUUUUUUUUAUUUAUAAAAUAAUACAAUAAUUUUAUUUGUAAUUUCGGAUAAGAUUUUUAAUCGUUCUCGUUGCGUCACGUCUCAUUAUCCGAAAAGCCAAUAGCAAUAAAAAUUUUGUAUUUUUGUAUUUAUAAAAUAAUUCAAAAGAAUUUUAUUUGUUAUUUCGGAUAAGAUUUUUAAUCUUUCUCGUUGCGUCAUGUGUCAUUAUCCGCAAACACAAUUAUUGGUGAUGGAUGUGAAGCGUUGUUUCGGUAUCCUCCAAGCUCGCUAGGCGAUCAUCAGGGGUGCUGCCAGAUUGUUUGAUGUAGAGUCGCUUCGAUCCAUCAUGAUAAUGUGCAUCAUUCUUCACAACAUGAUUGUAGAAGAUGAGUACGAUUAUGAAGCCGUUGAUGAAUAUGAGCUAGACAUGAUGAACAAUUCAAGAACACAUAUAUAUUGUGCUCAUGACACCACCGAUGAGCCCGUGCAACAUGAGCCAUUAGAAAGGGAUGGACGUUACAAUGAAAGGAUCAUUCAACGAUAUACUGCACUUUAAAGGCCAUAUAUGCACAAUGCCCGCCAAUUUGACUUGAUAAAGCACCAGUGGGAAUUGAGGGGUGCUGAAGAUACUUAAGUUCAUUAGUGUUUGUUUUUAUUUGGUGUGUUUAUUUUAUUUUAUGUGGUGUGUUUUUUUAGUUCAUUUAGUGAGUUGAAAUGUAAUUUUAUUUGGUGUGUUUAUUUUAUUUUAUGUGGUAUGUUUUUUUAGUUCAUUUAGUGAGUUGAAAUGUAAUUUUAUUUGGUGUUUGUUUUUUUUUUGGUGUGUUGAUGUUAUUUUAUUUGGUGUGUUUAAAUGUGUUUUGGAUAAAGUACUAAAUUCAAUAAAUUGGAAACAACAUAAAAUACUAAAUUCAAUAAAUUACCAAAUGAAAUAAAUAUACUUUUAGUUUAAAUAAAGUACUAAAUUCAAUAAAUUGGAAACAACAUAAAGUACUAUAUUCAAUGAAUAAGAAAUUACAACCCAAAUUGAUUGGAAAAUUAUGGGUUCGUGAAUGGAUAACCAUCACCUAACCAAUUUGUGGUGCUAGGAUGACCUUCUCUUGUCGUGCUAGGACCAUCUCCUCUUGCUCUCGCUUCUCUUGCACGCCUCCUUCGCACCACGUCCGCUUUCUCCGACUUCCAAAAAUAUUUAGAGUCUAGAGACUUCCCUUCUAAAGGCUCAUUCAUAAUGUCACGAUCUCGUUCAGCCAUUCUUUCUUCUCUUCUAUGUUCCCUUUCUUGCCGAAGUAGUUCUCUUUCUCUUUCAUCAGCUUCAAAUUUUUUUCUCAAAAGCUGCAGCUUUUGCAUCCUCUUUAGCCUUAUCAGCCUCAAAUUUAGCCAUUUCCCAGGCCAAAUUCAAUUCACCUUGGCGGACAAGUUCUUCCAUAUACUUUGCAUAAUCAUUCUUGGAAGCAUUACCUUUUCUCUUUGAAGCCUUCUUACCUUGAGGCCUAAUUGGAAAACGGGUCAACCCCGACGCUUGUUCAACGGGGGGCGUUUCAGGCACUUCUUCAUAAUCAUCUUCAUCAUGAUCAUGUGAGGCAUGCUCGGGUGUAGAGUGUAGAGGGGUGCUGUUCAUGAAAACUUAUGGACUGACAUGCACAACUUUAAAUUUAGGACAAUCUUUGACAAUAUUCCAACAUUCAAACCGGGUGAAUGUUUUGUUUUUGCUUUUGGUUUUGGCACCAUACCAAGCUUGUGCUUGAAGUUCCUACACAAUGCGGGAGAAUAAAUAAUUAUAAUGAGAAUAGGUAACAAAUAAAUAAUACAAACAAAUAAUUAUAAUGAAAGUAGGUAACAAAUAAAUAAUACAAACAAAUAAUUAUAAUGAAAGUAGGUAACAAAUAAUACAAACAAAUAAAUAUAAUGAAAGUAGCUAACAAAUAAUUAUAAUGAAAGUAGGUAACAAAUAAAUAAUACAAACAAAUAAUUAUAAUGAAAGUAGGUAACAAAUAAAUAAUACAAACAAAUAAUUAUAAUGAAAGUAGCUAACAAAUAAUUAUAAUGAAAGUAGGUAACAAAUAAAUAAUACAUACAAAUAAAUAUAAUGAAACUAGCUAACAAAUAAUUAUAAUGAAAGUAGGUAACAAAUAAAUAAUACAAACAAAUAAAUAUAAUGAAAGUAGCUAACAAAUAAUACAAACAAAUAAAUAAUAUAUUGUUACCUGAUCCGCUAAAUUUUCCCCACUUCGAAGAUUACCACUAGCUUGUGCCAAGGCGUCUCUCCACGUACUAAACGAUUGACUAAGUAAUUUCCAACGACUGGACAUCGAUUCUUUAGUUCUUUGCCCACCCAUUUUCUCAAGAUAAUUCGUAUGAAUAAGACUCCACAUUUCUCGCAACUGCAUUUCAUUACCCGUAAUCGAAUCAUGAGUAACUUGAACCCAACUAGUACACAACGCAACAUCUUCAAGAAGCGUCCAAUUCAUACCUGCUUGAGUAGUCAUUUUGUUGGAAAAAAAUUGGAUUGAAACUUUGAGAGAAAGAUAGGAAUGUGGUUGAAAGUAGUUGAUAAAAUAUGAAAUUGUGGUGUAUGGUAGAAGAUAAUGAGAAGGUAUUUAUAGAAAAGUAAAAUCAAAUUUUUUUUAUAAUUUUUCAUAAUUUUUUUUUUGAAUUUUUAAGAACUUUUUACAUUUUUUUAAAAAUUUUUAUUCACCUAAUUAAUCUCUGCCAUUGGAUUUUAAAAAAUUUUAAUUUCAGCACUCCAGAUUGUGCCACGUGUCACAACGGUAACAUUUUAUAUUUUUAAAUUGUUUUUUCUUUUUUUUUUAAUUUACAAAGCCUAAUAAUGUGGACCGUUGAUCUUAGAUUAAACGGAUGAAAUUAAAUGAGAUUUUUAAAUGUUUUUUACCGUUGGAAAUCCAACGGUCCAUAAAAUAGGACCGUUUCAAUCGAACGGACAUGGGGAAGCCAUGUAGCUUCCCCAACGGUAACUUUUCACAACUAACGUUGCGGGCCCCAGCCCUGUUUUUUUGUCGGAAGACUCGCGCCCACGCGGGUGUGAAACGCACGCGCCUGACGCAGCCCUCGGGCUCUCAGGCUGGCAAUCCUCGACGGGCCUGCUCCUCGGGCCUCGCCUGUCGCUCGAGCUUCCCAACGCUGGAGGUCAUCCCCUCAGCAAUUUGCUACUGUUUGGAGGCCUGGCCCCCGAGCAACCUCCCCCGCUGGAGGUGCUCUUAGGGUAGAGAUUUUCAUACAAACAAUGUGAAUUACUAGCAAGGCCCUUUCUAAUUAAGAAUCUUAAUUAUGAAUUAAAGACUUAAUUAUCAAGAUUUUGGAGUCGAUACUGUUAUUUACACUAAUAUUGUUUAAUUUAACCACUUGCAUAACCCAACAAAUGAUAAGUUGUCAAGUUUCUAAUAUAGAAAUUAGUGCCUUCUCGAGAUUAAUAUGAAAUUGACCGGUCAGCCAGCACUCAAACUGUCAAACAAGUCCAAAAUUUUGGACAAAUGAAAGUGAAGUCUACGUUUGGACAAAUGAAAGUGAAGGCUACGCUAAGAAAGUUGCAGAGCUUAAUUAAUUAUUGCUUUGGAAAUGUGUGUUAGGAGACAAGAAUCCUUUGCAAAGAAUGUAACUUCAUGAAGUGUCAAUUAUGUUAGAAGAAAAAUGUUUAUUCCGUUCAUAUUUAGAAAAGAAAUGGUAGUAUCCUUGGGUUAGAAUUUUGGGUUACAAGUUAAAUAUGGUAACGUAUGGGGAGUUGUUAGCUUAGAAUCAUAACGAUUGGGAAGAUGUGAAUAUGUGAGGAGAAAUUACACUUUAUAUGAUUAAAUUUUUAGAGUAUUAAUAAUAAUUAUAAAGAUGUAAAGAAAUGUCUUACAUUAGAAAGUUAAAAAAAUAAUAUUAUAAUUGCUUAAUUGGUUUUUAUAAAAUAGCUUAAAGCUGAUCAAAUUACCGUACUUUGUUGUUCUCUAUUCUCAUUCUUGUGUUUACUAACAAUCAAUGAUUAGAAAUAAAUGAGUGAUUCUCAUUUAUCUGUUUACUAACACCAAAAGAAUGAUAAAAAUAAUGCAUAUAGUGACUAUCCCAUUCCUUUUAAUGGUAAGUAAACAUUAAGAGCAUCUCCAACAUGUGCGACUUGGUUUGGGUCAUUCGGCCCCCAUCUUUGUUUGUGCGGGUGCUGAACAAGGACAGACUACCUUGCCCACCUAGUUAGUUCUUUUGUUGGUUGUAAGGGAUGGCAUGGUUUUGUUUCAUGCCCUUCAAUCUCCCUUAAGCCAUCUCCAACCGAGCCGACCAAAGGGUUAUAGGCCAAAACAUAGUUUGUUUUGACACAAAACCUAUCUCCAAUUAAGGUUGGGCUAAAAAAAUUUAGGACCCACCAUGCCAAAAUAUAACCAAAUGGCCAGAGGGCUGGGCAAACUUAGACAGUCAGCCAACCCUGAAAGUUGGGGCUAGUUGUGAUGCUACUUGACGUCAUAUAGCCUUUUUUUAAGACAAAAUAAAAAAUUCUAACUUUUUCCAAUAAAUACCUAAGUCAUUUCCACACCAUUUCUCACAUCAUUUUCACCCUUCCAUACUAUUUUACCUCAUUUUAAUGUCUAAGUUGUUCACAUGCAAGUAAAAUUAAAAUAUUUAAUAACAUGAAACUUAAAACGACAUUUAGCGAUAAGUAGCCCUCAAAAUAUGUCCGGAAACCUUAUUUUAAUAUGGAAGUUUAAUUCAAUAAACCGACAAAAUUACAGACCAAACUUAAAAUAAUAAAUUAUUGAGGGGGCUAAAAAAAUAGCCCCCUUCGGUUGGGGAUUGUAUAUAGAUAUGGUCUGACAUUGUUCAUUAAAAAAUAAUUUCUUGCAAGGCUAUAAUCUGGACAGAGGCCCUUCAAGAAAUUAUUUUUUUAUGAACAGUGCCAAGCCAUAUUUAUAUAUCAUAUCCAACCAAGCGGGCCAAAUGGUCAUAGGCCAAAACAUAAUUCGUUUUGACACAAAACCCAUUUCCAACUGAAGAUGGCUAUUUUUUAGCCCCCUCAAUAAUUUAUUAUUUUAAACUUGUUCUUUAAUUUAUUAGUUAAUUGAAUUAAACUAACAUAUUAAAAUAAGGUAAGAUAGUAUGGAAUUGUGAAAAGAAUGUGAGAAAUGACUUAGGUAUCUAUAGAAAAAAAAAAUUAGAAUAUUUUUUUUUUAAAUUUCAUCUGAAAAAAAAAAUUCAAAUUCCAACGGCUACAUGACAUCAGCUAGUCGUUGCUAGUUGGCGUCAGGAUGACGUCAUGUUAUCGUUGGACUGGAUUGGGUUUACCCAAAUCGGGCUAGCUGGUUAACUUUCUUUGGCUACCCUGCAAGCCUUGUGGCUGAUUUAUGGCCUAAUGGAUCCCGCAAGCCUUUUGGCCCAACCCUCGGUUGGAGACUGCUUUUGUGUCAAAACGGACUAUGUUUUGGCCUAUGGUCAUUUGGCGGCUCAGUUGGAGACGACCUUACUUCCAAUUAUUUUCCUAUGCAUUUGCUUGCCUUUAGUGGCUUUCUCGUUCUAUUGGCUUUGACCCUGACAAUGAAAUAUUCCCAGUUAUAAAAAAAAAAAAAAAAAAAAAAAAGCAUCUCCAACAGAUAAUUUGUUAACCCACAUGACAAUUUGAAAAUUAAAUUUUUUUUAUCACAAUUUUGCUCCACAUAUAAAAAAUUUACUAAGUUUUAUUAAAUUAAUAGUCUUAUUAAAUAUUAAAUUAAGACUCUAAGGGGGCGUUUGUUUGCCCUCACUAAGUGGGACUGGACUGGACUGGACUAGCUGUUAGUCCAAUACUGUGUUUGUUCGAUGCUGGGACUAACAUUAAUGAGACUAAAGGGGACUACCAUGGACAAAACCCUUCACUAAGAGGUCUUAGCGAGACCCCCCAAUAACCAUGGGACUAACUAAGACUAUCAUCUCUCGUCCUCGUCAUGCUCAACAACCACUCCCGAUAGACUCCUAAUCAUCUCCGGUCACCUAGAUCAUAAUAAAAUAUUAAUAAUUUAUAUAUUAAAUAAUAUAAUAUUAGAAUUUGUUAUUAUCCAGCUUCUUAGUCUAACACUGCACCAAACGCUUCACUAAGUUAGUCUAGCUUAGUCUAGUCUAAACCAGUCCAACUUAGUCCUUGAAGCUAGUCCAGUCCGAGAUAGUCCGGCGCAACAAACGCCCCCUAAGGGAUCAUGAGAGAGCAGAACGUUUCGUCCUAUCAUAGUGACAAAUUUGUUUUUUUUUUUUUUUUUUUGAAACAGAACCAAGGCCGAAGCCGAAACAGCAAGAGAGCCAACGAAUGGCGAACACCAAACAGGCACAAAGAGAAAAGACGAUGGAAGGGGAUACAAACAAGCAGACACUACAACCAGGUUGAGUGUCACCCCAACCACCGCAACUACAACUCAAGGCGGACAAGGAAGACCAUCCUUAUUCAGAACGUGCACCAACGAAGAUGGGGGUCUGUCAACCCAAACCCGAUCACACAUCUCCGGGCAGCCAACCGACGCAAGAAAGUCCGCCAAAGAAUUCGCUAAUCUUGGAACCCAAGACCAGCGACAGAACUGGAAAGCUUCACUCAACUGCUUGACCCGAGCCAAGAUAGGAAAAGCCUCCCAACUGCCAGAAUCCAAAUUGCCAGAAAGACAAGAAAUGGAUUCACGAGAAUCCGACUCCAAAAUGACAGAGCUACAGCCCAAAGCGGAACCCAAUUCACAGCCACGCAAUAACGCACAAGCCUCAGCCGCAGCAACACUGGGGGACAAGAUAGCAUACCUCGCAGCCGCCACAAAACUCCCCCCCUCCGCCCGCAUAACCACCCCAACAAAACCCGAUUUAGACCCCUGAGACCAGCUAGCAUCAACAUUGAUUUUAAAGAAAGGAGAGGUUGGAGGGAUCCACCGAGGAACUAAACACUGCCGAGCAGGACCCACCAAAUUUUCAAUCUGCGACAAACCCUCGGCCUCCCAGUAAGACCCGACAGCAAAGGCAACCUCCCUCAAGACGGACAUAGGAUGAACGGGGACCUGAUUAAAAACAAAGUUGCAACGAGCUUUCCAAAUACUCCAACAAGUAAAAGCAACAUAAGAUUGAACCCACGUUACCUCAGCCGAAUACCCUAGAGAAAGAUUGAACACAGCCUGCAACCAAUUCGCCCACGAAGUGAUACCCUCCCUAUCCAACCGAUAAUUAAGAGCACCACCAAACCAAAUGGCUGCAACGCACGGACACAUGAGGAAUAGAUGCUCCACAGAUUCAUCCUGGCAAAGACAAAUGGGACACACUGGGGAAGGGGAAGAACGCCGACGGAAGAGCACCUCUCUAGUGGGCAGGGCCUUAUGCAAGGAUAACCAAAAGAAAUGACGGAGUUUAUGAGGCCCUCGCAAAAGCCAGACCAUGCGCCAUAACUGCCUUGGAACCAAGCGAGCACCAUGCUGGCGUUGAUCCCGUAGCCCGACAGACCGAGAUUGCAGCCAGUGGUAGCCCGAUCGAACUGAAUACUUCCCAUUCUUACUCACAUCCCAAACUAGACGAUCUUGCCGACAAAGAUCACCAAUAGGGGUAAGACAGAUAGCAUUUUGCUCCACCUCCGAUAUAAACUCUUGCAAAAAACUAAUAUCCCACGUAUGAGACUCCGGCCGAAUAAGAGACUAAACCCUUAAGCUAGGAGUAACCGCAACCUCCCCAAUCGGAACAGGAUGUCCCACAGGUAAUGAUGGAAGCCAGCGGUCCACCCAAACACGUACAUCCGCUCCACUCAUGAUUUGCCAGUGAGAACCAUUCCGUAAAACCUCUCUACCAAUCAGAAUACUACUUCAAGCCCAGGAAGCCCUCCCACCUUUUUUGGCAUCCCAAAAAGAACAGUGCGGAAAAUAACGAGCCUUAAGAACUCGAGCCCAGAGGGAAUUCGGAUCAGUGAUCAACCGCCAACACUGCUUAGCCAACAAAGCGUCAUUAAAUUCACCGAAAUUCCGAAAACCCAAACCGCCCAUCAUCUUUGGAAGACCAAGAACAGCCUUAGAAACCCAAUGUGUCUUCCUCCGAUCCCCAAGACUGCCCCACCAGAACCCAGCCACCAAAGCAUCCAACUCCUGACAGACAAUAGCGGGAAAUUUAAAAAUGUGCAUCGAGUAUACAGGGAUUGCUUGAACCACAGCCUUGAUCAAGACUUCUUUCCCAGCUCGGGAUAAAGUACACUGUUUCCAACCUUGCAACUUACCCAGAAUUUUUCCUUUAAUAUAGGCAAGACCACGUUUUUUAGAUCGCCCCCAAAUAGUUGGAACACCUUAAUAAGUUCCAGGAUUAGCAACCGCUGGAAUGCCAAGAACAUUAACCAACUCAUUGGAAACUUGCAUAGAAACAUUCGCCCCAAAGUAAACACUCGAUUUUUGCAAAUUAACUUGCUGACCAGAAGCCUCACAGUACCACCCCAGAAUGUCCACCAGAUUCCGACAAUUUUUAGUAUCAGCCUUUAGAAAAAGAAGAGUAUCAUCCGCGAAAAACAUAUGAGAAAUGACGGGCCCCGAUACUCCAAUCUUCACUCCGUCCAACAGAUGCGAAUCCACUGCCUCUUGAAGUAGAGAAGAAAUGACCUCUCCAACCAUCAGGAACAUAUAAGGGGAGAGAGGAUCCCCCUGCCUGAGACCCCGAGAAGGAGUGAACUGCUGUCCGGGUUGACCAUUAAUGAGGACCGCAAACUGCACCGAAGACACACACCUCAUAAUUAAAUGCCGCCAUUCACUGCAAAAUCCCAUCCUAGCCAUAAUAGCAUCAAGGAAGUCCCAUUCCACACGAUCAUAGGCUUUCUGCAUAUCCAGUUUAAUACCCAUCUUAAACUUAUUUCUAGCUUUUCGCCCUUUUAAGAACUGAAAAAGCUCAUGAGCUAUGCCAACAUUAUCAUGGAUCAUCCGACCAGCCACAAAGGCAUUAUGCGAGGGAGAAAUAAUACGCGACAGAACACCCUUUAACCGAUUCGCAAGAACCUUAGCCAGCACCUUAUAAGAGUAAUUGCAAAGACUAAUGGGACGAAAUUGCGAAACCGACUCCGGAUGUGAAACCUUAGGAAUUAGAACCACGUGGGUAGCAUUGAGCGUACACGGGUUGGCAGAUUCAUGCAUCAAAGAUUUGAUCAAGCUGUUAACAUCAUCCUUCAGCUGCUCCCAAAAGGAUUGAUAAAAAAUCCCUUGGAAACCAUCCGGCCCGGGAGCUUUGAGGCUGCCCAUAUGUAACGCAGCCUCCUGAACUUCCUGCUCGGACACCGGCGCAAUUAACGCCUGAUUCAUAGCCUCAGAAACAUCCUGGUGAAGACAAUCCAAGAUAGAACCCCAAUUCCUAGGACCCCCCGACUGGAAUAAGGAGAUAAAAUGAUCCUCAACUAACUCCCGGACCCUGCGGGGAUGCUCAACCCAUUGCCCAUCCCCAUCCAUCAAAGUGAAGAUCGUGUUCCGCCUGCGACGUUGAAGUGUAGAUUGAUGGAAGAAUUUAGUAUUUGCAUCACCCUCACGCAGCCAUUGAACACGAGAUCGUUGAUGCCAAUAACUUUCCUCCGGAGGUCAUCAAGUAAUAUGACUUUAUAAUAGUAAAUAAUUUUUUGGGUGUAGAAGAAUAGAAGUUAAAAAGUUAGCUACGUGGACGAGAGAUAAUGUUAGGGCCCCUCCACAGACAAAGUGGCCUCCCUCUUCCCUGCAAUUGCGAUGCGACCUCCCAGUUUAUUUAUUUUUUAUUUUUUGAGAUUUAAAUUAAAUAUUAAAAAAUCAAGAAACAAAAUUAAUGCAGAACAACAAAAAUCAUUUCCAUGUUUCUUUGACCACAAAACCCGUAAAGUUGUGUUUAAGUGGUCGUUCACCUUUUUCGAAAGAUGUUUCAGUUUUUUUGGCCUUUGCUUUUGUCACCACAAUCAUUUUCCAUGUACUCGUUGUUUUUUUUUUCCUUAGAUUUGGUAACUUUUUUGAAAAGAAGCUUAUGAGGAGGGUCCAGUUGGAUGGACAAGGAACUUAAAAACACAAACCAAAGUAUAAACUUUACUUAAUAUUGUCACAAAGUUUCAUGUAAUGUUGGGAAAAAAAAAUUGUUCAAUUUCUUAUGUGCGUAUGUCUAUAAUUGUAACAUAUUUACUUAUUAUGAAAUAAAUAUGUAGGGAGUCAAAGAACUCGAGAGUAGCAGAAUGAAUGUGAAUCAUAUUAUUUAUUACUCCUAGUUUAUUUCAUUUCUGGUUUUGAAAGCAUGGAAUUACUGAUUUUAGGGUAGGUUUAGUAAAAUUGGGGUUUCUAAUGAUUUUACAAUAUUCAAGUGUUGAACUAAUCAAUUUUAAAAAAUGGUGAGUCAAUAAAGAUGAAAUCCGAGUGAUGUGAUGGGUUUAUAAGAGUGUCAAUUCUGUUUCACAAUCAAGAUUUAGCUUUUCAUCAUUUAAACUAGUUGCCAAAUUAUUAUUUAGAUGUUAGUUGAAGAAAGUCAAAAGUUGGAAUAAAUUAUUAGUUCUUAUAGACUCUAUCCUUUUUGGGAAAGUAAAUAUAUUAUAAAAAAACAUGUUUAUAAACAACAAGCGUUUGUAGUCCAACGGUUAGGAUAAUUGCCUUCCAAGCAAUAGACCCGGGUUCGACUCCCGGCAAACGCAUUUUUGCAUUACGUAGGCAAAAUCUUCCAGUUUUCAUUAGCUAUAAGCGAUUGUUGCUCUAUUAUCUUCAAUUUUUAAUUUAUAUUAUUACCUAGGCAAAAUAAUUCUCUUUUUCUUGUCAAAAAGAGAAACAAAUAAAACAAAAAAUAAUCUACCACGGCUGGAAG